GAGAGCCGUGUAAUGGGAAACUAUUACGCACGGUUCGGAGGGAGACGGAUGGAACAGGGUCCGCAAGGAUACCUCGCCAGCCGUCUACCCUAC
rnacentral:ncRNA from 1 species